GACGAACGCUGGCGGCGUGCCUAAUACAUGCAAGUUGAGCGAUGAAGCUUGGUGCUUGCACCAAUUUGAAGAGCAGCGAACGGGUGAGUAACGCGUGGGGAAUCUGCCUUUGAGCGGGGGACAACAUUUGGAAACGAAUGCUAAUACCGCAUAAUAACUUUAAACAUAAGUUUUAAGUUUGAAAGAUGCAAUUGCAUCACUCAAAGAUGAUCCCGCGUUGUAUUAGCUAGUUGGUGAGGUAAAGGCUCACCAAGGCGAUGAUACAUAGCCGACCUGAGAGGGUGAUCGGCCACAUUGGGACUGAGACACGGCCCAAACUCCUACGGGAGGCAGCAGUAGGGAAUCUUCGGCAAUGGACGAAAGUCUGACCGAGCAACGCCGCGGGAGUGAAGAAGGUUUUCGGAUCGUAAAACUCUGUUGGUAGAGAAGAACGUUGGUGAGAGUGGAAAGCUCAUCAAGUGACGGUAACUACCCAGAAAGGGACGGCUAACUACGUG
rnacentral:rRNA from 1 species